rnacentral:rRNA from 1 species
AUUGAACGCUGGUGGCAGGCCUAACACAUGCAAGUCGAGCGAGCGGCGGACGGGUGAGUAAUGUAUGGGGACUGCCCGAUAGAGGGGGAUAACUACUGGAAACGGUGGCUAAUACCGCAUACUAUCGGAUAACCCCUAUGGGAUUGGCUAGUAGGUGGGGUAAAGGCUCACCUAGGCGACGAUCUCUAGCUGGUCUGAGAGGAUGAACAGCAACACGGGGACUGAGAAAGGGCCCAAACUCCAACGGAGGAGGCAGUGGGAAUUAUGGCACAAGGGGCGAAAGCCGUAUGCAGCCAUGCGGGGUGUAUGAAGAGGGCCUUGGGGUGGUAAAGUACUUUCAGCGGGGAGGCGUUACCCGCAGAAGAAGCACCGGCUAACUCCGUGCCAGCAGCCGCGGUAAUC